CAGUGGAAAGCCAAAAAGAGGCAUUUAACUGUUAAUUAAAAAAUUGUAAUUAUAUUUACUUCGCUGG
rnacentral:tRNA from 1 species